AUCGAACGCUGGCGGCAUGCUUAACACAUGCAAGUCGAACGGCAGCACAGUGUGUAGCAAUACACAUGGGUGGCGAGUGGCGGACGGGUGCGUAACGCGUAGGAAUCUGCCCUGAAGCGGGGGACAACCCGAGGAAACUCGGGCUAAUACCGCAUAAUCUCGAGAGAGAAAAGCUGGGGAAACCUGGCACUUCAGGAGGAGCCUGCGUCCGAUUAGCUAGUUGGUAGGGUAAAAGCCUACCAAGGCGAUGAUCGGUAGCUGGUCUGAGAGGAUGAUCAGCCACACUGGGACUGAGAAACGGCCCAGACUCCUACGGGAGGCAGCAGUGGGGAAUAUUGGACAAUGGGGGCAACCUUGAUCCAGCAAUGCCGCGUGUGUGAAGAAGGCCUUCGGGUUGUAAAGCACUUUAGUUGGGGAAGAAGAUGUGUAGUUUAAGAGAUGACACAUUUGACGGUACCCGAAGAAUAAGCACCGGCUAACUCUGUGCCAGCAGCCGCGGUAA
rnacentral:rRNA from 1 species